rnacentral:rRNA from 1 species
GACGAACGCUGGCGGCGUGCUUAACACAUGCAAGUCGAACGGAAAGGCCCUGCUUUUGUGGGGUGCUCGAGUGGCGAACGGGUGAGUAACACGUGAGUAACCUGCCCUUGACUUUGGGAUAACUUCAGGAAACUGGGGCUAAUACCGGAUAGGAGCUCCUGCUGCAUGGUGGGGGUUGGAAAGUUUCGGCGGUUGGGGAUGGACUCGCGGCUUAUCAGCUUGUUGGUGGGGUAGUGGCUUACCAAGGCUUUGACGGGUAGCCGGCCUGAGAGGGUGACCGGCCACAUUGGGACUGAGAUACGGCCCAGACUCCUACGGGAGGCAGCAGUGGGGAAUAUUGCACAAUGGGCGGAAGCCUGAUGCGGCAACGCCGCGUGCGGGAAGACGGCCUUCGGGUUGUAAACCGCUUUCGCCUGUGACGAAGCGUGAGUGACGGUAAUGGGUAAAGAAGCACCGGCUAACUACGUG